CUUGGGUUGCCCUUUGCAGCAGGGACGAGAGGCGCGCAAAGCGCUGCAACCGCCUUUGCCUCGCCUUCUCCUCCCGAGAGCGCCUGGCUUCAUCGGGAGGAGGAGGAGCCCGGGCUUGUGACGCAGCAACGAGGCUUCGCAGUCGUAGCAAAGGGGACAGGGCGGCCUAGGGCAGCCUAAGCGCCGUCCGCAUGGAUCAGGGCCCGGCGCCGUAUUGCUUGCGCCGAAGGAAGUCUCCGCGACGCGCGCAGCCCGGCGGCUUAGACACUGAGUAUAGCCUGGCCAGCAGCAAUAGACCUAAUUUAUCGUAUUUGGACCCUUGGAUUGUGACUCUUCUGUUGGAGUACAAAGAAUCCGUAAUCAAAACAGAUGGUCAGCUUGGACAUGUUCUGAAGGUUUUGAAUGAGCCGAGGGUUUACGAAGAUGCUGAGCAGGAACCAAAAACAAUUCUACAUAUUGGAGAUGGGCUUCACUAUAUUGAAGUGAUGGUUGCAGGC
rnacentral:lncRNA from 1 species